rnacentral:rRNA from 1 species
AUUGAACGCUGGCGGCAUGCUUUACACAUGCAAGUCGAACGGCAGCACGGGGGCAACCCUGGUGGCGAGUGGCGAACGGGUGAGUAACACAUCGGAACGUGCCCAGUUGUGGGGGAUAACCUAUCGAAAGGUAGGCUAAUACCGCAUGAGCUCGGCAAGAGGAAAGCGGGGGGACUCAGCGAUGGGCCUCGCGCGACUGGAGCGGCCGAUGUCCGAUUAGCUAGNGGUGGGGUAAAGGCUUACCAAGGCGACGAUCGGUAGCUGGUCUGAGAGGAUGAUCAGCCACACUGGGACUGAGACACGGCCCAGACUCCUACGGGAGGCAGCA